rnacentral:rRNA from 1 species
GUGGGGAAUAUUGGACAAUGGGCGAAAGCCUGAUCCAGCCAUGCCGCGUGUGUGAAGAAGGUCUGCGGAUUGUAAAGCACUUUAAGUUGGGAGGAAGGGCAGUAAGUUAAUACCUUGCUGUUUUGACGUUACCGACAGAAUAAGCACCGGCUAACUUCGUGCCAGCAGCCGCGGUAAUACGAAGGGUGCAAGCGUUAAUCGGAAUUACUGGGCGUAAAGCGCGCGUAGGUGGUUUUGUAAGUUGGAGGUGAACUCCACGGGCUCAAGCUGGGAACUGCAUACAAAACUGCAUGACUAGAGUACGGUAGAGGGUAGUGGAAGUUCCUGUGUAGCGGUGAAAUGCGUAGAUAUAGGAAGGAACACCAGUGGCGAGGGCGACUACCUGGACUGAUACUGACACUGAGGUGCGAAAGCGUGGGGAGCAAACAGGAUUAGAAACCCUUGUAGUCC